rnacentral:lncRNA from 1 species
AUGGGAUAACUUUACCACUCUAUAUAUGAAAUAAUAAAACUCAUCAAUAAAUACACUUUUCAAUUACAUGCACUAUGUUCUCUAUUAUAUUCAACAAAAAAAUACAUAUAAUUUUGACAACUGUAUUUUCAAUCAUAUUUAAUUCUACUUUAUUUAUAAUCAUACUUGAGCCAAAACUACGCCAUAAUGGCUUUGUUUUGCGCAAAAAUCUUCCUAAU